UAGUCCACGCCGUAAACGUUGGGCACUAGGUGUGGGAUUCAUUCAACGGAUUCCGUGCCGUAGCUAACGCAUUAAGUGCCCCGCCUGGGGAGUACGGCCGCAAGGCUAAAACUCAAAGGAAUUGACGGGGCCCGCACAAGCGGUGGAGCAUGUGGUUUAAUUCGAAGCAACGCGAAGAACCUUACCGGGGUUUGACAUCUAGUGGACCGGUGUAGAGAUACACCUUCUCUUUGAGUCGCUAGACAGGUGCUGCAUGGCUGUUGUCAGCUCGUGUCGUGAGAUGUCGGGUUAAGUCCCUUAACGAGCGAAACCCUUGUCUUCAGUUGCCAGCGUGUAAUGGCGGGGACUCUGAAGAGACUGCCGGUGUUAAACCGGAGGAAGGUGGGGAUGACGUCAAGUCCUCAUGGCCUUUAUGGCCUGGGGCUGCACACGGUCCUACAAUGGGCAAUUACAAAGGGGAAGCUAACUCGCGAGAGUACGCAAAUCCCAAAAAGAU
rnacentral:rRNA from 1 species